AGAGCGGUGAGGCGGUGGCGCAGGCUGCCCAAGGAGGGCGUGGAGUCACCAUCGUUGGAGGUGUUCAAGAGCCACGUGGAUGUGGCACUGAGGUUCGUGGGCAGGGUGGGGGUGGAUUGGCAGUUGGACUAAGUGAUCUUAGAGGCCUUUUCCAAACUUAAUGAUUUUGUGAUUCUCUGAUAAGCUUGUGUUACCGCUCUUGCUUUGUCCCUGAGGAGACCGAUGGGAAACAAGACUCCGCAAAGAUGCGUGCAGCUGUGUGAGCGUCAGAGUUGAGAGCAGCAAUGUGUGUCGCUCCGAAACGUCGCUCCGAAAAUUUCCUAUGGAAGAAAUCUGGAAGAAUCCCAUCUGAAGAAUCCUUUUAGGAUCAGGACUUGAUAGAAGGUCUGUAUUAAAGAAGAGUGCUUGUAGAAGAGGUUAUGAUGGAGAUGAGCAGAGUGAACCUUGAAAGUAACCAACUAACUGGUCCUGUGGCUCUCAUUAACCUCAAAAAUUAAGGAGCUUAAUUGUGUAAGGUAGUGUGUAAUGUUCUACUCAAAUCUUUUCUUGCAAUCUGGCGG
rnacentral:lncRNA from 1 species